rnacentral:tRNA from 1 species
GGCUCGUUAGCUUAGUGGUAAUAGCGCCAAACUGUUGAAUCGAAAUGGAGGUCGUAGGUUCGAUUCCUACACGAGCCC